UACGUAGGGUGCGAGCGUUGUCCGGAAUUAUUGGGCGUAAAGCGCUCGCAGGUGGCCCGAUGCGUCGUGCGUGAAAGACCCCGGCUCAACUGGGGGGUGUCGUGCGAUACGGUCGGGCUGGAGGCCAGUAGGGGGAUGCGGAAUUCCGGGUGUAGUGGUGGAAUGCGUAGAGAUCCGGAGGAACACCAGCGGCGAAGGCGGCAUCCUGGACUGGUCCUGACACUCAUGAGCGAAAGCGUGGGGAGCGAUCCGG
rnacentral:rRNA from 1 species